CCUAGAGUUGUAGGCUUUGCCUGCUAUCUCUUACCCAUGUCUUUUGAGUACCUUCGUUUCCUCGGCGGGUCCGCCCGCCGAUUGGACAAUUUAAACCAUUUGCAGUUGCAAUCAGCGUCUGAAAAAAAACUUAUAGUUA
rnacentral:misc_RNA from 1 species